rnacentral:rRNA from 1 species
UAGGGAAUCUUCCGCAAUGGGCGAAAGCUUGACGGAGCAACGCCGCGUGAGUGAUGAAGGUCUUCGGAUCGUAAAACUCUGUUAUUAGGGAAGAACAAAUGUGUAAGUAACUAUGCACGUCUUGACGGUACCUAAUCAGAAAGCCACGGCUAACUACGUGCCAGCAGCCGCGGUAAUACGUAGGUGGCAAGCGUUAUCCGGAAUUAUUGGGCGUAAAGCGCGCGUAGGCGGUUUUUUAAGUCUGAUGUGAAAGCCCACGGCUCAACCGUGGAGGGUCAUUGGAAACUGGAGAACUUGAGUGCAGAAGAGGAAAGUGGAAUUCCAUGUGUAGCGGUGAAAUGCGCAGAGAUAUGGAGGAACAACAGUGGCGAAGGCGACUUUCUGGUCUGUAACUGACGCUGAUGUGCGAAAGCGUGGGGAUCAAACAGG